ensembl:snoRNA
ACCCUCCAGUUCCCUUUCCCAUUGGAUCUGAACACUGGUCUUAGUGGCUACCAUAAAGGAGGAAAAGUUUUUUGAAAAGUUAUCUUAGAACUUUAGAUCUUUUUUAACAAAA